AGCAGCCGCGGUAAUACGGAGGAUCCAAGCGUUAUCCGGAUUUAUUGGGUUUAAAGGGAGCGUAGGUUGACAUAUAAGUCAGCUGUGAAAGUUUACGGCUCAACCGUGAAAUUGCAGUUGAUACUGUAUGUCUUGAGUGUACAAGAGGUGGGCGGAAUUCGUGGUGUAGCGGUGAAAUGCUUAGAUAUCACGAAGAACUCCAAUUGCGAAGGCAGCUCACUGGGGUACAACUGACACUGAGGCUCGAAAGUGUGGGUAUCAAACAGGAUUAGAUACCCUGGUAGUCCACACAGUAAACGAUGAAUACUCGCUGUUUGCGAUAUACAGUAAGCGGCCAAGCGAAAGCAUUAAGUAUUCCACCUGGGGAGUACGCCGGCAA
rnacentral:rRNA from 1 species